rnacentral:tRNA from 1 species
GCGGGAGUAGCUCAGUUGGUAGAGCUCUUGCCUUCCAAGCAAGCUGUCGCGAGUUCGAGUCUCGUCUCCCGCUC